UGCCUGUCGGGACCCGAAAGAUG
rnacentral:siRNA from 1 species